rnacentral:rRNA from 1 species
GAAGCGCCAAACAUCGAAUCCUCUGAUGCUAAGGCCGUGAAGCCGCCCUGGAGUCUUCGGACAAAGGGGAGUGGUGGAGCCGCUGAUCCAAGGUGGUAGUAGGUGAGUGAUGGGGUGACGCAGGAAGGUAGUCCAGCCCGGGCGGUGGUUGUCCCGGGGGAAGGGUGUAGGACGCACGGUAGGCAAAUCCGUCGUGCAUGAAGUCUGAGACCUGAUGCCGAGCCGAUUGUGGUGAAGUGGAUGAUCCUAUGCUGU